rnacentral:rRNA from 1 species
GAUGAACGCUGGCGGCGUGCUUAACACAUGCAAGUCGAACGAUGAAGCCCAGCUUGCUGGGUGGAUUAGUGGCGAACGGGUGAGUAACACGUGAGUAACCUGCCCUUAACUCUGGGAUAAGCCUGUGAAACUGGGUCUAAUACCUGAUAGGAGCGUCCACCGCAUGGUGGGUGUUGUAAAGAUUUAUCGGUUUUGGAUGGACUCGCGGCCUAUCAGCUUGUUGGCGAGGUAAUGGCUCACCAAGGCAACGACGGGUAGCCGGCCUGAGAGGGUGACCGGCGACAAUGGGACUGAGAGACGGAGCAGACUCCUACGGGAGGCAGCAGUGGGGAAUAUUGCACAAUGGGCGCGAGCCAGAGGCAGCGACGCCGCGUGAGGGAUGACGGCCUUCGGGUUGUAAACAUAUUUCAGUAGGGAAGAAGCGAAAGUGACGGUACCUGCAGAAGAAGCACCGGCUAACUACGUG